GAAAAAAAGAAGUGUUACUCUCUUAUUGUACGAUUCACUGGAAAAUGAAGAUGUGUUGUCCUGCAUGUGUUUUCUUUCCAGAAACCUGAGCUGAUAAUCAUUACAACUGCAGCUGCAAACUUAUCACGUGACACCAGAUUCUUUGAGCAUACUGUGCUAUUUCCCUGAACUGACUUGUGGGAAUCUGAGAGAAAAAUGAGGAUCCGCUGCAGGUGCUAGCUGAAAUCAAUGGAGGCAAAUAACCUUUUUCCUCCACAGUCAUUGCAAGCAUGGAAAAUGUAGAUAACCAAAGAAGUACUGUCUGUUCGAGCAUCCAAAAUUUACCUGGAAUGAGUUUGCACACUGACCCAGACCAAACUGUGUCAUGUCCUGGUAGGGUGGAUGUGACCUACCCAGCCUUCACCUUCAGCCCAGAACUUCGCCCACUAUUGCCAUCAGCAGAGCCAUUACUAACAACUCUGUAUGUGCUUGUAGCCCAACCACAAGCAAAAGAAAAUGUUAAGAGCUGAAAUCAAUAGGAACCUUGUAUUUAAUUUGCUCUUUGGACUGGUCAAACAGUGCACAGACAGCAGUUCUUUUAGCCUCACUACCCUGAUCUUCUGUAGUUGUGUGUCCAUGCCGUGCACCAUACAGUAAGAAGAUGCCAGUUAGACUCUACAGUCUGCAAAAUAAUUAUAUUUGAUGUUGCUACACAAAGGGUGACAGCAUGGAGGGAAAUGGAAACACUAGCAAUGAGAACUGGAAAACUCUUUGCUUUUGUUAGAAUGCUUUUGUCAGAAAUGGCCUGGAGGAACAGAGGAGACGAAUAUGCAAUUUCCAAAACAGUAUGGAGAGAUCAAAGGAGGCUGAUGUUCUUUCAGAUUGCUGUUGUGGCGGAUCUGCAGGAGGAAAUUAAAGAUGAACAUUACUCUAUUUUGGAAGUUUUAUCCAUUGACUGGAAAGAACAAGCAAGGUGCUGGAAGCACAGUGAGCACUAUGACUGAACCUUGCGAUGGACUUCUUCCAAAAAAAUCUGUACUCCCUCCCUUCUUGAAGGUAUUCAGUGGAGAUCAUGAUGUGGGUUACUCAAAGCUUGCUUGAGGAAAAGCCUCUAAACCAGCUCUGCAUUUCUUCAGUUUAAAUGAAAUGUCCCAAACCAGAAUAUGAAUG
rnacentral:lncRNA from 1 species